rnacentral:rRNA from 1 species
CCUAUGGGGGACAGCAGUGAGGAAUAUUGGUCAAUGGGCGCGAGCCUGAACCAGCCAAGUAGCGUGAAGGAUGACUGCCCUACGGGUUGUAAACUUCUUUUAUAAAGGAAUAAAGUGAGGCACGUGUGCCUUUUUGUAUGUACUUUAUGAAUAAGGAUCGGCUAACUCCGUGCCAGCAGCCGCGGUAAUACGGAGGAUCCGAGCGUUAUCCUGAUUUAUUGGGUUUAAAGGGAGCGUAGAUGGGUUGUUAAGUCAGUUGUGAAAGUUCGCGGCUCAACCGUAAAAUUGCAACUGAUACUGGCAGUCUUGAGUACAGUAGAGGUGGGCGGAAUUCGUGGUGUAGCGGUGAAAUGCUUAGAUAUCACGAAGAACUCCGAUUGCGAAGGCAGCUCACUGGACUGCAACUGACACUGAGGCUCGAAAGUGUGGGUAUCAAACAGGAUUAGAUACCCCGGUAGUC